CGUCCAGACUCCUACGGGAGGCAGCAGUGGGGAAUAUUGCACAAUGGGGGAAACCCUGAUGCAGCGACGCCGCGUGAGUGAAGAAGUAUUUCGGUAUGUAAAGCUCUAUCAGCAGGGAAGAAGUUGACGGUACCUGAGUAAGAAGCCCCGGCUAACUACGUGCCAGCAGCCGCGGUAAUACGUAGGGGGCAAGCGUUAUCCGGAUUUACUGGGUGUAAAGGGUGCGUAGGUGGCAUGGCAAGUCAGAAGUGAAAGCCCGGGGCUCAACCCCGCGGACUGCUUUUGAAACUGUCAGGCUGGAGUACAGGAGAGGUAAGCGGAAUUCCUAGUGUAGCGGUGAAAUGCGUAGAUAUUAGGAGGAACACCAGUGGCGAAGGCGGCUUACUGGACUGUAACUGACACUGAGGCACGAAAGCGUGGGGAGCAAACAGGAUUAGAUACCCUAGUACC
rnacentral:rRNA from 1 species